GGAGGACGCAGCUCGGACCAGCUGAACCUCUAGUUGGUUUUAUACCGAGUCGACGUCAUCCUGGAUUUAGUUCCUGGUAAUAUGCAGAUGACAAACAGAACCAGAUUUGGCCCUUUCUUUUCCUUUGGGUGGGGGGAGGUUUCGAGGGGAGGGGGGGAGAAGUGUCAAGGAGAGGGGGUUCCAGGGCCUGAAAAGAGAUUGUGGAUUGAGAAUUAAUGAAAUUAACCUAAUCUUUUCCAUUGGGCGGCCCCGCCGCGGGCCGGCGGAGCUGGGCGGGCGGCCUAAUUGCCCCGGUUAAUCUCAUUAAUUCUAUUGUGCGGCCGCAUUAACAACUCCCACCGCCGACCUCUCCGCCCCCACCCGCUUUUCUCAGAUUGGGCCCUAUUAUUGGGUGCGAUUUCCUCUGCCUGUAGCUCAAAUGCAUUGUGGCCGAUUUUACUUUGGGACUACUUUUCUCCAACUUUAGGAAUUUGUUUUGUUUUAGGAAAUGUGAGUGGUUACGUUUUCCUUCUAGUCGGAUGGAAAAUUCUGCGCCUCCUCCCGGCCCCAGCGCCCUCACCGCCCGAUUUCACCUUAAAAAAAAAAAAAAAAAAAAAUCCUGGUAGUUCUCUCCCGAUGGAACAGUUUAAACCCCCUUGCCCUAAACCUUUUGUUUUUGUAAAAGCCAGCGUUUGUAAAGGCAAAAACGACGAAAGAAGAGACGUGUCGCGUGUUUCUUAAACAUUUUGUCUUUCUGUUUGUUUUGGUUUUUGUUUUGUCUUUUUCAGACACCUAAGGUCUGGAAACGACCGUACAAUCCCUACCUUAGGGGAUCCUAGUAACACAGCGAAGACCAAGUUCAGCCACUAUUUAAAAUUCACCACCUGAGUAGCACCCUGAGUGUCGGUCUGGCCCAGCCAGAAGACUGGAGUAGCAGUGAGGGACCAGCACCAGGGCGAGAAGAUGUCUGGCCUCAACAUGGCUUAGCCACCUCUGCUUCCCACAGUGGCCAUGCCACCUGGACUGCCCUGUCCAUCAGCCUGGAUUGUCUGAGGCCAGCAGAAGCCUGGAGAGGAGCUGGGACAGGUGCCCAGCCCUGCCACAACUCCAUCGGACUUUGGGAUCCAGAAUCAGGCGGCCCCACAUUCCACUUCCUUACAGCAGCCCAGGAAACCCACAGCCCUGCUGCUGUAAUGACUGCACCUGCCCUCCCUCCCUUCUUCCUCCCUCCCUCCCUUCUUCCUCCCUCCCUUCCUUCCUUCCGAGGACCGAACCCAUAGCAAGCACUGUAUCACUGAGCUGCACUCCCAGCCUUUUCAAAAUUUUUCUUUUUGAGACAGGGUCUCAUUCGGUUGCCCAGGCUGGCCUGGAAUUUGCCAUCCUCCUGCCUCAGCCUCCUGAAUCCUGGGGUUACAGGUGUGCACGCUCAGGCCCCACUUUGGUUUAAAAACUUUUACAGGGAAGUGUCAGAGGACAUUCCUUUAACUGCCAACAAGGAUGUAUCUUCUAGUCAAGACUGUCCUGUCAGAUAAGAUUGGCAAAUACAAUACCAUUAAGACCUUUGUUCAUCAAAUUCGCCUUCACCAAAGGAACCGUAAACUGAGCAGACAGCAGCAACACUGCAACAAAAGAUUACAACAUGCUACAGAAACAACCCUGUAAUCCAAACAGAGAAAAACAAACAAUCCUGUAAAACAAUUUUGAUACAAAAAGGGAUCCUCCCCACUGGGCAUAGUGGCCUGUAAACUUAGUACUCUGGGAGGCUGAGGCAGGAGGAUCCCAAGUUCCAGAGCAGCCCAAGUAACUACCCAGCCUGAGUAGCAGCCUAGUGACUUAGUGAGAUUGUGUCUCAAAAUAAAAAUGUUUUGUUCUAGGCUAGAGAUAAAAAUAUACAUGUGGCCCAAGAGUCUGGGCUGUGCUGGAGCUUCACGGCAGGGCAUUUGUCUGCUGUGUCCAAGGCCCGUCAGUGCCCAGCACUGAAAAAUUUAAGAAAGAAUGAGUUGGAAAGAGAAAGAGAAGAGGAGGGAAAAGAAAGGAAAAGAUCGCAGCGCCUGUGAGGAAGGCUCUGGGGCCAGAGGUGGGGGCUCAGGAGGACGGGGAGGCACAGACCCAGGGAAUGGGGGGAGGAUCACUCGAGAUAAGAAC
rnacentral:lncRNA from 1 species